CCGCGUCCGUGAAGGCAGCAAGGAGAAAUGGAAGAAAAGGUCGCUGUAGGUCCUCGCAAAAGAAGAAUGGAAUGCCCAGCAGGAGAAUUUUAAAAAGAGAUGCCCAAAAGACUGUGCUACCCCCCCAAGAAGAUAAAGUUUUAUGAACCAGACCCUGGCUCACCUAAAGAUAAUGAAGAUGCUUACAUCAUGCGCUGUGGUACGCUCGAUGGAUGGACAGCAGUGGAGAAAACCAAACUCAAAAACGCCUUGAUAAACAAAUGCUGCAUGAGGGCAUUUUAAAGACUUUUUCUAGUAUAGAUGUUUUUUUCUUCUGUGAUUUUAUUGUUUUAAGAGUGUUUAAAAAGCAUUUUUAGGAAAACUUCAUGGUCGAAACGUUGGGCUUAAAAGUUAAAAGUUUUGCAAGAAUUGUUGACUUUUGCAAGAGAUGUAGAAUGUUCUGCUGGUUUUGUGAGCUUUUGUGGUUAUUGUGUAAAGUCUUGUGAAAGCAGCCUUUAAUAUAGUGCCCAAGCAUUCAGAAA